rnacentral:rRNA from 1 species
AUGCACUUUCUUCCCCGUCUUUCACACUUCUCCUCUCUUCUUCUUCCUCCUCUCUUCCCCAUCAUCGGUGGCACACCAUUUCCCCCCGCUCACUGCUCGCCCGCCCACGCCAUCUUCCUUGAUAGCUUGUGUGUACCAUAUCCCCCCGCUCACUGCUCGGUCACACAUGCCAUCUUCUUUGCUCGCCCGCCCGAAUCCACUUCCCCACUGGCUUGCAGGCACCGAAAACCCCAAUCACUCAGCGCCCUGAAAAACCCUAUGGCAGAACCAACUGACAACAGACGCAAAUACAUUGGCCUUCAUGAUUCCAGGACCUGGAAUCAUACCAGCCGAUGGUCCAAGAAGGAUUGGCCGCUACUGCCGGCUGGCGUCAAGUUUGAUCCCACAGAUCAGGAGCUGACUGAGAACCUUGAGGCCAAAGUGAGCGCUGACAGCGCGAGAUCUCACGCUCUCAUCAAUUUGUUCAUACCAACCAUCGACAGCGAGCAUGGCAUAUGCUACACCCAUCCCGAGAAACAUCCAGGUAUCACACCGAGUGGCCUAAGCAAGCAUUUCUUCCAGCGCAACUUCUGGGCAUUCAGAAGGGGCACGUGGACGCGUCGCAAGAUACAGUUGGAGUGCGGCAUGCACGCGAUAUGGCACAAGACCAGCAAUACCUUGCCGGUGAUGGUCAACAGCCGGCAGAUGAGCAGCAAAAAGGUUCUGGUGUUGCACACCAACAAGAACUUCGACCAGCAGAGGACCAACUGGGUGAUGCACCAGUACCAUCUCAAGGACCUGGAGCAAGAGAAGGAGCGGGAGUUGGUCCUCUGCAAGAUUUUCUACCAGACGAACACUAGGGCCAGGACUAAAAAGAUUAUAAGUUAG